GAGGAAUAUUGCUCAAUGGGCGAAAGCCUGAAGCAGCAACGCCGCGUGCGCGAUGAAGGUCUUCGGAUCGUAAAGCGCUUUUGAGAGGGACGAGAUAGGACGGUACCUCUUGAAUAAGUCACGGCUAACUACGUGCCAGCAGCCGCGGUAAAACGUAGGUGGCAAGCGUUAUCCGGAUUAACUGGGCGUAAAGCGCGUGCAGGUGGCGUCGUAAGUUGGACGUUAAAUCUUUCGGCCUAACCGGGAGGUGUCGUUCAAGACUGUGUGGAUUGAGGAUAGAAGAGGGGCGUGGAAUUGCCGGUGUAAUGGUGAAAUGCGUAGAUAUCGGCAGGAACACCUGUGGCGAAAGCGGCCCCCUGGUCUGCUCCUGACACUCAGACGCGAAAGCUAGGG
rnacentral:rRNA from 1 species